GACGAACGCUGGCGGCGUGCUUAACACAUGCAAGUCGAACGAGAUCCAAUGUGUAGCAAUACACAGGAAGAUCUAGUGGCGAACGGGUGAGGAACACGUGAGAAACGUACCCCAGACUUUGGGAUAACAGUCCGAAAGGACUGCUAAUACCAAAUAACGUCGGAAGUCCGCAUGGACAUCUGACGAAAGGGAUUCCGGUUUGAGAGCGUCUCGCGGACCUAUCAGCUAGUUGGAGGGGUAACGGCCCACCAAGGCAACGACGGGUAGCUGGUCUGAGAGGAUGGUCAGCCACACUGGGACUGAGACACGGCCCAGACUCCUACGGGAGGCAGCAGUGGGGAAUCUUGCGCAAUGGGCGAAAGCCUGACGCAGCAACGCCGCGUGCGGGAAGAAGGCUUUCGGGCUGUAAACCGCUUUCAGUAGGAACGAAACUGACGGUACCUACAGAAGAAGGAGCGGCCAACUAUGUG
rnacentral:rRNA from 1 species